GUCUAUGGCCAUACCACCCUGAACACAGCUGAUCUCAUCUGCUCUCAGAAGCUAAGCAGGGUCAAGCUUGGUUAGUACUUGGAUGGGAGAAAAGUCUGGGCUUCAAGGACA
rnacentral:rRNA from 1 species